UUUGAUGAUACUGAUCCUAAG
rnacentral:piRNA from 1 species